UCGGGACCUAAGCCGAGGCUGAUAGGCGUAGGCGAUGGAUAGCAGGUUAAUAUUCCUGCACCUCCUGGCCCCAAAGCAUCAGGGACACAGGUCGGAGAACAACUAGGUAAUUGAAUUCCGAGGUGCGGCUACGGCCAAUCCGUAUUGUUCAAAGAACUGUCAAGAAAAGCUGAUGUGUCGUGCUAAGGGAGCCCGUACCGUAAACCAUCACAGGUGGGUGGGUAGAAUAUACCAAGGCGUAAGAGUGAAACCUGGUUAAGGAACUCGGCAAAAUAGCCCCGUAACUUCGGAAUAAGGGGUGCCUGCUUCGGCAGGCCGCAGUGAAAUGGAUCAACCGACUGUUUAGCAAAAACACAGCAUUCUGCGAAGACGCAAGUCGAAGUAUAGGAUGUGACACGUGACCAAUGCCGAAAGAUUAAGGCGAGGGGUUAGCGCAAGCGAAGCUCUGAACCCAAGUCCCGGUGAAUGUCGGCCGUAACGAUAACGGUCCUAAGGUAGCGAAAUUCCUUGUCGGGUAAGUUCCGACCUGCACGAAUCGUGCAACGAGUUGAUCGCUGUCUCAACCAGGAGCUCAGUGAAGUUGUUGUGCCGGUGAAGAUGCCGGCUACCCGCAGAAGGACGGAAAGACCCUAUGAACCUUAACUGUAAGCUGUCACUGUUUUUUCGGUUUCAAUGCUCAGCGUAAGUGGGAGACUUUGAUGCGGCCCUUCAGGGGGUCGCGGAGUCGUCAAUGAGACACCACCCUUUGAAUUUGGAGAAUCUAACAUCCUGCCCUGAAUCGGGCGGAAGGACAAUGGCAGCCGGUCAGUUUUACUGGGGCGGUAUCCUCCCAAAAUGUAACGGAGGAGCGCGAAGUUUGGGCUCAGCGUGGUUGGCAAUCACGUUUCGAGUGUAUAGGCAUAAGCCAGACUAACUGUGAGACGGACAUGUCGAGCAGAUACGAAAGUAGGCCUAAGUGAUCCGGUAGUUGAAUGUGGAAUUGCUAUCGCUCAACGGAUAAAAGGUACUCUAGGGAUAACAGGCUGAUCGCGCCCAAGAGUUCAUAUCGACGGCGCGGUUUGGCACCUCGAUGUCGGCUCGUCGCAUCCUGGGGCUGGAGAAGGUCCCAAGGGUCUGGCUGUUCGCCAGUUAAAGCGGCACGCGAGCUGGGUUCAGAACGUCGCGAGACAGUUCGGUCCUCUAUCCUCUGUGGGCGUAGGAGAAUUGAGGGGUUCAAACCCUAGUACGAGAGGACCGGGUUUGACGCACCUCUGGUGUACCAGUUGUUCUGUCAAGGGCACGGCUGGGUAGCUAUGUGCGGACUAGAUAAGCGCUGAAAGCAUCUAAGCGUCAAGCUAUUCCCAAGAUUAAUUCUCCCUGAAGGAUCGUGGAAGACUACCACGUCGAUAGGCUGCAGGUAUAAUUUCAGUAAUGGAU
rnacentral:rRNA from 1 species